GGAAAGAUGCCAGAGAGGUCGAAUGGGUUCGCUUGGAAAGCGAUUGUGUAAUUAUAUAAUCAAUGCACCGGGGGUUCGAAUCCCCCUCUUUCCG
rnacentral:tRNA from 1 species